CUAUAAUUUUGUCGUUUCAAAAGUUUUUGGCCUUUUGAUCUUUCUUAUUUUAUGUUUCUCUCCAUUGUUCUUCUUCCUUUGCUUACUGAUAUGUCCUUUUUCCAUCGCUGUUUCAUUUUUCUUCAAUUUUUGUUUCACUAUUUCUGAUUUCUUUUGUAAUUUUCUAGCUUCGUUCACUUUAUCCGAUAAGUUUUCUCCUGUUGUUUUAGGAAUAUCUGCCACAAAAUUCUAGAUUCUCUUGGAAGGUUAUUUUCUUUUUGAUUUCAUUUUGGUAAUUCUAUCUGAUCCACACAUGCAUGAUUGAAAAUAAUUAAGUGGUACAUAUAAUUGUAAAUUAUUUUGGAUUACUGAUCAUUAAUGUGUGUCCGAUUUUAGGUACUAAUUAAUUACAACAAGCUAAAUCUCUUGUGGAAAAUUCUGUAAUGUUAAACUUGAUGUUGGAGGAUUAGCUCUUUGGUACAUAAUCUAUUUAUUAGUUAUUGAUAGCAUGAUAUAUCUGUAAACAUAUUUUAUGGUAUUGCAUAUAUUUUACAGUGUCUGACAUUUUAUUUUGAUUUUUUUCCUUUUGUACCUUUUUCUUAUUUUUUCUCUUUUUGCUAUGAGUAACUUGAAGCUGCGAAGACUGAUUAAUUCAAGAUGUUCGGUGAUAUGUCCGAAACAAUUUUAUUUGGGACGUCAUUUGAAAGUAGCUGAAUCUUAUUCCAGAAUGGUUUAUUCCCCCUAAUUGUACCACGGAAACUACUGCUCGUGCGGAGGCUUUUCUCUAAGGAGUAACACCCUUUCAUAUGACGAGUUAGUAUAACAAAUACAAGGUCGGACAGCACAAUAAGACUAUUAAUAAAGCAUCAAAGUGGAUUAUUCGACUAAAGGUGAAGUCAGGAAUGUAACAACAAGUUGAAACAAGACUAUAGUAAGACGACCAACUGAAUUGUCCCUUAUGAAUCAACUUGAAAAGGAUAAGAAGUCAUUGAAGUUGACACUCGGUGAUCAUUUGCAUUUGGAGGGAUUUGCAUUGAAUCUUUUCGCAAAGGCAGACAAACAAGAUCUAGCUGGACGAGCAGACUUAUAAGAGUCAUUUAAACUACACCAUGUGACGUUUGUUUAUAUUUAAACUUUUCUUAAGAGAAAUCAAUGGUCAUAGGCUUGUAUUUGUAAAGAAAACACUCCAUCUGUCCUAUUUGGUUUAUCCUCGUGCCACAUAACGUAUAUAUUGUAGAUCCUUGAACAGUUCGGUGAACUUCAGCGUGAUGUGAGUUUUCAUCAUACCACAAUAAUAAUGAGAAAUUUUUUUUCA